rnacentral:rRNA from 1 species
CACGUAGGGUGCGAGCGUUGUCCGGAAUUAUUGGGCGUAAAGAGCUCGUAGGCGGUGUGUCGCGUCGGCCGUGAAAACCUGCAGCUUAACUGUGGGCGUGCGGUCGAUACGGGCAUCACUGGAGUUCGGCAGGGGAGACUGGAAUUCCUGGUGUAGCGGUGAAAUGCGCAGAUAUCAGGAGGAACACCGGUGGCGAAGGCGCCACUCUGGGCCACGACUGACGCUGAGGAGCGAAAGCAUGGGUAGCAAACAGG